rnacentral:rRNA from 1 species
ACCCGCUGAACUUAAGCAUAUCAAUAAGCGGAGGAAAAGAAACCAACAGGGAUUGCCUCAGUAACGGCGAGUGAAGCGGCAACAGCUCAAAUUUGAAAUCUGGCGCAAGCCCGAGUUGUAAUUUGUAGAGGAUGCUUCUGGGCAGCGGCCGGUCUAAGUUCCUUGGAACAGGACGUCACAGAGGGUGAGAAUCCCGUAUGUGAUCGGCGCGCACCCUCCACGUAGCUCCUUCGACGAGUCGAGUUGUUUGGGAAUGCAGCUCUAAAUGGGAGGUAAAUUUCUUCUAAAGCUAAAUACCGGCCAGAGACCGAUAGCGCACAAGUAGAGUGAUCGAAAGAUGAAAAGCACUUUGGAAAGAGAGUUAAAAAGCACGUGAAAUUGUUGAAAGGGAAGCGCUUCCAACCAGACUUGUCGGCGGUGUUCCCCCGGGCUUCUGCCCGGGCUACUCACCGUCAGCAGGCCAGCAUCGUCUGGGGCCGCCGGAGAAACCGCCAGGAAUGUAGCUCCCUCGGGAGUGUUAUAGCCUGGCGACAUGCGGCGCGCCCCGGGCGAGGUCCGCGCAUUGCAAGGAUGCUGGCGUAAUGGUUGGCAGCGGCCCGUCUUGAAACACGGACCAAGGAG